rnacentral:rRNA from 1 species
UACGUAGGGUGCAAGCGUUGUCCGGAAUUAUUGGGCGUAAAAGAGCUCGUAGGCGGUUCGUCGCGUCGGCUGUGAAAAUCCCGAGGCUCAACCUCGGGUCUGCAGUCGAUACGGGCGGACUGGAGUACUGCAGGGGAGACUGGAAUUCCUGGUGUAGCGGUGAAAUGCGCAGAUAUCAGGAGGAACACCGGUGGCGAAGGCGGGUCUCUGGGCAGUUACUGACGCUGAGGAGCGAAAGCGUGGGGAGCGAACAGG